GUCAGCACCCUCCUCUGAAGAGACCAGGCGUAGAUAGCCUCCCUUCAGGUAGCUGACCAGCCUAAGACCUUGACCCAAGGGGUUGCCCUUAAGGUAAAGGAUCUACGUUGUUGGCAAGUGUUAAAGUUCCUACCUUGGGGUACUUUGCCCGCUCCAAGCUCUAGAACCGAGUCGUUAAACAAUUAGACGAGGGCUAAGACAGUGCGGUUCGGAAAGUACCGACCAACAACGUUGGCGAGGCAAACGUUAC
rfam:Lyngbya majuscula 3L genomic scaffold scf45967, whole genome shotgun sequence.